AUGUCAGAACCAGGUGCUCCGCAGGGCGCAGCUUUAUACGACCGCAGAGGUCGAACCCUGAACAGUUGGGGCAAGUAUGGACAAAACAUUCAAGCGUGAUACAGCUCUGAAUUUGGAUUGUGAUCAAAUUUUUGACAUUAUAUGUUUUUUUUUUACACAAAACAAAUGUCAAGAUUUUACAAAUCAAUUAAAGAUUUCUUCAAACUUUUUAAAUCUAAAAUUAAAUAGUUGACACAGCAUAGGUUUCUGACAUCGAAUGAAUGUGGUCUAAUGAACUUAAAAGUUUUUUUUUUGCCUUUGAGCAAUUCACUAUGCUGUUGAAUAUUAAUCCUCUCAAAAAAAUGUUUGAAGAAAUUUUCUUUUUAUUUAUGAAAUCUGAAAUGAGAAAAAUUUAAACCCCCCCCCCUUUUUUUCACAUCCCCGUUUCCCUUUUUCCAAACUGAUAUCAAUUCAAAAUUUCUAAUGGAGUUUGCAACAAUAACUACUCUUUUAAAUACAUCAUAAGAUAUUAAAAUGUAAAAUAAAGUGCUUGUUAUCACUGAAUGGUAAAGAUUGGUUGGUAGUAAAAGUGAAUAUACAUUGUUUAUUGUAUAAAA
rnacentral:lncRNA from 1 species